UAGUGCACCCCACCAAAGCUAGGCACA
rnacentral:piRNA from 1 species